AUGUGGGCAUCUCAAGAGACUUCUCAUUGCAACCUAUCCCCCUCCAACCCCAACCCCCCUAUUCUCCCACAGCUAAUCUACCCACCUACGCACAGAAGAAACCAGGAAAGUCCAGGUCAGCAGAUGGAGGGACUGGAGUCAGAGCCUGAUGCCUCUUCAUCUGUGGGCUGCUUGUCCAGCGCCCAGAAGUGCCCACUUGGACCAGAAAGGCCCUUGGAAUCAUCAUUUACUGUCAAACCAUGGAAUAAACUGGGCCUCAGUUUAUUAUCUUUUUUUUUUUUUAAGAAUAUUACUCUCUGCAUGUUUUUUCUCACACAUCACUAUUUUCUCAACACUACCAGCAGUUCCAAAAUCUAUCCAAAAAUACAGUCAAGGGACUUCCCUGGUGAUCCAGUGGCUAAGACUCUGCACUUCCACUGCCGGAGGCACACGUUCGAUCCCUGAUUGAGGAACUAGAGUGUGAUAUCUCGUGGCCAAAACAAAACAACCAAAAAUACAGUCAAGUAAUUAUGGAAAUUUGACACAGGAAAUAUGAAGUACUGGAUCAGACCCAUCAGGUUGAAAUAUAAAAAUUUCAACAUUUUCCAUCUAUGUCAUUCCCUGGAGGGUAGAAUUCACUGAAUAGGAAUAUUCACUAUUUGUAUAUGAAAAUACCAUCACCAAAUUAUUAAUCUAUCUUGGGGAUUUUGUAAAAACCUAUGAACAAUGUUGAACUAAAAGGACUCUUUGAGUUAAAGGAUUUGAAAUACAUGUGUUUGGAAUGCCUAUCAAUGAGAAAUUAUCAUUGAUUUUCAGAUGGCCUUCUUGGUCUAUGUUUCAAAGACCCCAAAACUCAUUCAGAAUUCCCAGAGCUGCAAUAAAGUUAAAUAUCUAUUAGACUAAGCCAAUAUGUUAAUAAUCUCCUAUAAUUAUUCACAAUACACUGUCUGUUUUUAUCCAUCUGUUCCUUAUUAUCAUCCUAAGAGAUGGUUAUCACACCCAUUUCAUAGUGGAAGAAUUACAGAGACACCUCAUCUUUAAAAUAGGGAUAAUAUUAAGUAUUAGAUUAGAUAACAUGAGAAUGUUCCACCCAGAGCUUGGCCCAUAGCCCCAAACAGCAAAUGAUAGUUUCCUGAACUCACCCAGACACAAAUAGCUUACACUUCUUACCCAACUACCAAGAAGUCAAAACUAUUUAAUGACCAGAAGUUUGGGCACUUUAGGUUAAGAGAGAGGUGAUUCUACUAGAACCAGUAUCCCACCCCUCCUUAUCACCACUUCCCCACCUUUGAGGCUCUUAUAAGGGGUCCUCAGGCACUCAAAAUGCAGAGGAUUUGGCUCCUCGCCCAGCAAUGGGCUCGACAGAUGCUCAGUAGAUGUCUCCAGGGUGCAUGAGUCCCAUCUAGACAGGUCUGAACAGGUAGGACUAAGUCUUGCCCUUGCUACCCAGCCCACCCCUAGAAGCC
rnacentral:lncRNA from 1 species